rnacentral:rRNA from 1 species
AGCGAACGCUGGCGGCAGGCCUAACACAUGCAAGUCGAACGAACCUUUCGGGGUUAGUGGCGGACGGGUGAGUAACACGGGGGAACGUGCCUUUAGGUUCGGAAUAACGCAGGGAAACUUGUGCUAAUACCGAAUGUGACCUUCGGGGGAAAGAUUUAUCGCCUUUAGAGCGGCCCGCGUCCGAUUAGGUAGUUGGUUGAGGUAAUGGCUCACCAAGGCGACGAGCCGUAGCGGGUCUGAGAGGAUGAUCAGCCACACUGGAACUGAGACACGGUCCAGACUCCUACGGGAGGCAGCAGUGGGGAAUAUUGGACAAUGGGCGAAAGCCUGAUCAAGCCAUGCCGCGUGUGUGAAGAAGGUCUUCGGAUUGUAAAGCACUUUAAGUUGGGAGGAAGGGCAGUAAGUUAAUACCUUGCUGUUUUGACGUUACCAACAGAAUAAGCACCGGCUAACUUCGUG